rnacentral:rRNA from 1 species
CUUUAUUGGAGAGUUUGAUCCUGGCUCAGGAUGAACGCUGGCGGCGUGCCUAAUACAUGCAAGUCGAGCGAAUGGAUUAAGAGCUUGCUCUUAUGAAGUUAGCGGCGGACGGGUGAGUAACACGUGGGUAACCUGCCCAUAAGACUGGGAUAACUCCGGGAAACCGGGGCUAAUACCGGAUAACAUUUUGAACUGCAUGGUUCGAAAUUGAAAGGCGGCUUCGGCUGUCACUUAUGGAUGGACCCGCGUCGCAUUA